rnacentral:tRNA from 2 species
GCCCGAGUGGCGUAACUGGCAGACGCGAUGGAUUCAAGUCCCAUUGUCCUUAGUGGCGUGUGGGUUCGACUCCCACCUCGGGCA